rfam:Bacillus sp. X1(2014), complete genome.
UCCGUGGUGACGCGGAAUCUGAAGGAAGCGAGCGGCAAACUUCUGAUCUGAGGAACACGAACUUCAUAUGAGGCUAGGUAUCACUGGGUGAGUUUGCACAACAAAACAAAACGGACAUGGGAACGCCUCAAGGCGGCCCGCUCAGUCCACUUUUAUCAAACAUCAUGCUUCAUGAAUUGGAUAAGGAGCUGGAGAAACGUGG